CCUACGGGAGGCAGCAGUGGGGGAUAUUGCACAAUGGGGGGAACCCUGAUGCAGCGACGCCGCGUGGGUGAAGAAGCGCCUCGGCGCGUAAAGCCCUGUCAGCAGGGAAGAAAAUGACGGUAUCUGAAGCAGAAGCUCCGGCUAACUACGUGCCAGCAGCCGCGGUAAUACGGAGGGGGCAAGCGUUAUCCGGAUUUACUGGGUGUAAAGGGGGCGCAGACGGCGAUGCAAGCCAGGAGUGAAAGCCCGGGGCCCAACCCCGGGACUGCUGUUGGAACUGCGUGGCUGGAGUGCAGGAGGGGCAGGCGGAAUUCGUGGUGUAGCGGUGAAAUGCGUAGAUAUCAGGAGGAACACCGGUGGCGAAGGCGGCCUGCUGGACUGCAACUGACGUUGAGGCCCGAAAGCGUGGGGAGCAAACAGGAUUAGAUACCCUUGUAGUC
rnacentral:rRNA from 1 species